UUGCUGUGAUGAUACCUUUAAUUGUGGUUUCAACUUGCUGAGUGUUGAAUGAGGACAUUAAAUUCCUUGGCUGUGUCUGAGCAU
rnacentral:snoRNA from 1 species